GAUGAACGCUAGCUACAGGCUUAACACAUGCAAGUCGAGGGGAAACGACAUCGAAAGCUUGCUUUUGAUGGGCGUCGACCGGCGCACGGGUGAGUAACGCGUAUCCAACCUGCCCAUCACUUGGGAAUAACCUUGCGAAAGUAAGACUAAUACCCAAUGAUAUCCCACGAAGGCAUCGGAAUGGGAUUAAAGAUUUAUCGGUGAUGGAUGGGGAUGCGUCUGAUUAGCUUGUUGGCGGGGUAACGGCCCACCAAGGCAACGAUCAGUAGGGGUUCUGAGAGGAAGGUCCCCCACAUUGGAACUGAGACACGGUCCAAACUCCUACGGGAGGCAGCAGUGAGGAAUAUUGGUCAAUGGGCGAGAGCCUGAACCAGCCAAGUAGCGUGCAGGAUGACGGCCCUAUGGGUUGUAAACUGCUUUUAUAAGGGAAUAAAGUGGGUCUCGUGAGACUUUUUGCAUGUACCUUAUGAAUAAGGACCGGCUAAUUCCGUG
rnacentral:rRNA from 1 species